rnacentral:rRNA from 1 species
GACGAACGCUGGCGGCGUGCCUAAUACAUGCCAGUUGAGCGCUGAAGGUUGGUACUUGUCCCAACUGGAUGAGCAGCGAACGGGUGAGUAACGCGUGGGGAAUCUGCCUUUGAGCGGGGGACAACAUUUGGAAACGAAUGCUAAUACCGCAUAAAAACUUUAAACACAAGUUUUAAGUUUGAAAGAUGCAAUUGCAUCACUCAAAGAUGAUCCCGCGUUGUAUUAGCUAGGUGGUGAGGUAAAGGCUCACCAAGGCGAUGAUACAUAACCGACCUGAGAGGGUGGUCGGGCACAAUGGGACUGAGACACAGCCCAAACUCCUACGGGAGGCAGCAGGAGGGAAACUUCGGCAAUGGAGGGAAGGCUGAACGGGCAACGCCGGGUGAGUGGAGAAGGGUUUCGGAUCGUAAAACUCUGUUGGUAGAGAAGAACGUUGGUGAGAGUGGAAAGCUCAUAAAGUGACGGUAACUACCCAGAAAGGGACGGCUAACUACGUG